UGGGGAAUAUUGGACAAUGGGGGCAACCCUGAUCCAGCAAUGCCGCGUGUGUGAAGAAGGCCUGCGGGUUGUAAAGCACUUUCAGUAGAGAAGAAAAGCCUAAGGUUAAUAACCUUGAGUCUUGACGUAACCUACAGAAGAAGCACCGGCUAACUCCGUGCCAGCAGCCGCGGUAAUACGGAGGGUGCAAGCGUUAAUCGGAAUUACUGGGCGUAAAGCGCACGUAGGUGGUUUGGUAAGUCGGAUGUGAAAGCCCUGGGCUUAACCUGGGAAUUGCAUUCGAUACUGCUUGACUAGAGUAUGGUAGAGGGAAGUGGAAUUUCCGGUGUAGCGGUGAAAUGCGUAGAUAUCGGAAGGACACCAGUGGCGAAGGCGACUUCCUGGGCCAAUACUGACACUGAGGUGCGAAAGCGUGGGUAGCAAACAGGAUUAGAUACCCUGGUAGUCCACGCCGUAAACGAUGAGACUAGAUGUUGGGAGGGUUGCCUCCCGGUGUCGCAGCUAACG
rnacentral:rRNA from 1 species